AAAAUAUAAUGUGUUCUUAUUUGGGUAACUUCUUAGGUUACUUGAGAGAAAAUCCUCUCAACUGAUCAUCUUCUGUUUUUGGGCAUUUAGAGUCUCUUUGUGUAGAUUGCGGCCUUCUCUUGCCCGAAAGCUCUCCUCUUUUGCCCAAUGUGGAUUUUUCUCUCUCUCCACCUCAAGCGAAGUUGUAAAUAGGCAUUGGGUUGUGUUACUUUUUUGUUUCUCUUGUAGGUUGAGUACUAAAUAGUGAAGGAGUCUUCUUCUGCAACUUGCAACGUUGUUGAGUUUGGCUAGAGAACUUUGAGUCGACUUGGUUCUUCUUUUGGUUAAGCUCGUGAGAGGAUGUACUGAUGCUGUAGGGAUGGGCAUCUUAAGAAUCGUAUAGCCAGCUCACUGAGAUGGUCAUCCGACCCUCAAAACAAAGAUGUUGUUCAAGCUCUGCCCAUUGAUUCUCCACACAAAUCAUUGGCGCUAGGUUUUCUGUCUCAUGGAGGCAUCGCUUUGAUUUCUGGAAAAGAUUUAUUGGGGUGGUACUUUGUUGCUUUUCCAUGUGAUAGCCGAAUGAUCCCUUCUAGGGACCCGUGGGGAGGAUGGCGCUGUAGGUGUUGGUUUCCUCCCUUGGCUCCUUGUGUUUUACUAGCUAGGGCUUUGAGUUUCUAGACCUUUAGGCUGGAUUAUUCUGCAUGGCUAACUUUGUUGGGCCUUUUUUUUAAUCUGUAAACUGGUGAUCUUAGACCUAGCAUGUUGGGUUAUCAUCUACGCCUUGUUUUGUACUCAACUUUCUCUUAUGCCCAAUUAGGGCCUCAUAAAUUUUUUUUCUUUGAAAAAAAACAUCUCUAACAUUGUUAGAGAUCCAAGAUAAUUUUAGAAUUUAAUUUAAAACUUUUUAAAUUUAAUUUGUAUUAUAAAUGUCAACGUCUAAAAUUAGAUAAUCUCGAGAAAGGUUAU
rnacentral:misc_RNA from 1 species